rnacentral:lncRNA from 10 species
CAAGUCUGAAGUAUUUUGUAUUUUGUGGCCUAGGAGGUGCUCCCUGAGUUUGUUGAUAGGAGGCUAGAAGAAGAGGUCUUGAAGUUAAACCUUGGAGAAAGGUGGGAUUUGGAGAAAUUGAGAGGCUCAUUAGGCUCAGAUGGGUCAGACCUGAGGCAUCCAGGAGAGUUGGGGGCAGGAUGGAAAUGUGCACCUAGAGAAGGGGGCAGUGGACAGAGUCACUGUCCAAAGCUCUAGGACCUAGCCAUCUCCCUUGCCAGGUCCUCAGGCCCUUACAUGGGCUGAUUAGCAAUGCCCAGGUUUGCUUCACUGCAACUAUCUUGUCCAUUUUUGCUUUAGAGGAGCAGUUUAUCCUUUCCCAGGUUGCACUCCUGGAGCAGGUGAAUGCCUUGGUGCCCAUGCUGGACAGUGCUCACAUCAAAGCCGUUCCUGAGCAUGCUGCCCGCCUGCAGCGCUUGGCCCAGAUCCACAUUCAGCAGCAGGACCAGUGUGUGGAAAUCACUGAGGAGUCCAAGGCUCUCCUGGAGGAAUACAACAAGACU